CAUGAGUCAGGGGAGCAGAGAGGAUGGGACCAGCCCCAAGACCAAAUAUUGUCCCAAUCUACUGUGACUGGCAAGUCACAAGCAGUGUCCUGGGUGCAGCAAAUCCCUUCUAAAGCUCUGAGAUCAGUGAGUCGGCCAAUUCCACCAAGCACAAAGUCUUCAGCUGCUGGAGGUCUCAUUUGUACAGCAUGUGGGCCUUCCCUUUCACCAUGGCCUGCCUCCUCCUCUCACAGCACAUCGGCUUCUGCAUCCACUCCAGAGUCACCCAGAAGAGAGCCAGGGCUCUAAAGACCAGCACCGCCCUGCUAUGAUAUGCCAGCCACCUCCCAGGAUUUGACCCAAGUGACCUUUGACCCUGAGUGUAGGCAGGGCUGGCUCUGGCAAGGCUGUGGGAUCUAGGGGCUCUGGGCUGGGAUGCAGUCAGAGCUGGCAAUCAGAUGAUCAUUUGGCAAGUUCUUCUUCUCCUGGCUAAGUGGUGCUCCCUGGGUCUGUAGGCAACUGUUCCACAGCUGCUCCAGCCUGACUGUGCCUGGCCUUGGUUCGUUCUUCUUAUCCUGGAGCUGCUAGGGGGUGUGAGUUCUCAUGCAGGGCCCUGCCCUAGUCCCUCUGCUCCAGGCUCUAUUUGGGGCAGAGGGAAUUAGGGCUCUGGGAAGGGCAAGACUCCUGGCCUGGGAGAGACUGGGAGCUGAAGGUGAAACGCUAAUGGAUUCACCCUCCUCUUCCUUCUACUAGAACUCCUCCAAGUUCCCCCACACAAUUAACCCUUUACUUUUGGUGAUCCAGCUGCAAGCUGCUGAGACUGAAAUCAAAGACUUGCAGUCAGCGUUUGAGCUGGAGAAGAUUGAUUAUCUCACCAUUGUUCGCUGAAGGAAUGGGACUGCUUCUUCUUUCAGCAGCUUCUGGAUCAGGUGCAGCCCCUCAUGCCAUGUGACAGUAACUAUAGCAACCUAGACAAGAUCAGACACGAGUCGGUCUGGGAUGAGGAGAUGAGGACAGCGGCUGCUGAAAACUCCUGAAGCCCGUCAUUCAAAAAACCAGCCCCCCUGCAGCAGUUCCAUCACUGCCACAGACUAAGCCAGCCAGGAAGAGCUCCUCAGGCGAGAACGGAGAGCUGAUGAUGCAGGAAGAGGACCGCUACAAACUGAUGCUGAGGAGGAGUGACAGUGAGAAAAUUACCAGUAACUAUUUCCUGUCCAAGCGAGCCAGCCAGAUCCUCAGUGCUGAUCCUACAGAGUCUUCAUAAAUAUCUGACACUCCUCCUUUCCUUUUGUCCAUUUGCCUGUAUCUCCUCCAGUAGGGUGCCAUUCCAUCUGUCAAGCUCAGCACCUCUCAUACCCACUUGAGAUGGUUGAAUGAUAUGAAAGACACAAACAGCCGACUGACGCGCUGGUACCUAUUUCUCCAGCCCUAUGCAUUCCAAGUUCCGGAUAGGGAAGGCAAAGCUCCCCAGAACACUGACUUUGCUCCCCCGCAUUCCCUGGAGAAAAUGUGAUGGCCCCAGCUCUACUAGCUCCAUCUUGGGGGCGGGGUGUGAUUGGGUGCACAAACCCUACACUGAGCAACAAGGAGCUAAGGAAAUACUCUGGCCUAGCCAGCCCCACCGCAUCCUUGGCAAAUGCACCAACUGGAGGAGGGGGUAAAAGGCAGGUGAGCAGCUCAUUUUGUAGCAGACCAGGAAGGAGAGCAGACAUGCUACUGGCAGCUCCAGGAGAGACGAGCUGAGAGACGUCAGAAACUCCCCCUAAACAACUGCCAAAAGGUCCCUCCCUGAGGAAAGGGAAGACCUGCUGCAGGGACAGCCUGAGAGAGAAGCACUUUCCUCACCCUGUCAUAUGAACUCUGGACUUGAUUUAUUUGCUGUUUGGACUACCCCAACAGGGGAAAGUCCUUGGACUGAGCUGGCCCCAGGAGACUGGGCCAUACCCCAGGAGGAGGCAGUUGCCACCCAAGAGGAAAGGAGAAUGACCUCACUACAUGCAGCCACCAGACGGUGCCGUGGGGUGAACAGACAACCCUCACACUGCUUUACCCCAGACAGUGACCUUGGGACAGUUGCAGGGAGGUGGUAGGAAGUGGCCUUAAGCAUCCUGAGCUGUCAGAGUCCUGAUAGCCAUGGGUGCUCCGAAGCUCACGCACUCAUGGAUAAAAAUACGGGGUGUUCAGCAUGCACCAGCCACAUUGGUUCAGGCCUGGGCUGGCUGCCAGCAGACCGGCUAGCCGGAGGCGCUCAGGGGAGGGGUGGAGCAGGGGUAAGAAGAGGCGGAGCAAGGGCAGGGCCUUGGGCGAAUGGGGCGGGGCCUAGGGGCAGAGUGGGAGUGGAGCAUCCACUGGGGAAAAAAAUGUCAGCACCUGUGCUGAUAGCCCACAAAGAGCCAUGGGUCAGAGCCCAGUGGAGUAGGAGGGCCUGGGAUCCCCUCACAACAACCCCUCUGAAUGUCACAGGCCUGAGCCCUGACCAGUAGAUGGUGCUCCCCUCCCAACCUGGAGCGAGGGCCGUCACGUUAUCCCAGUAGGAUUGCCACGGAUCCCAGGUUUUCAGGGAAUAAAGCACCAUGGGCUAGAGGUUCUGCAGAAGCAGCACCCUUAGCCUGUGUAUCACUCAGUGGCGCUGGUGAUUCUUUAAUGGACACCAGUCCCCCUGGGGGCCUUCAUGGGCAGUGUCCGCAAACAUUGCAGCGGCCUUCCUUGGCAGUUACCCUCUUAACAAUGUAGCAUUUGGUGGCACAAUCCUCUUAUCACAGCGGCUUUUGGAAGGGACAGUUUGACUUUCCUUUGAGUUUAGGGUCAGUGGAGACAAAUGCUGCUUCCAGGGGUUUUAAAGUCUGUAGUGACAACUCCAGGUUCAAGCUGGGGCUGGCACAUUCCUCCAUGACCUGCUUCCCUGCCACAUGUGUUCAGCAAGCGCUGCACAUUUAGUCUUCCAUUCAGGUCACUGCCGCCCCCAGCAGGUGGUGGGAAGUCAAACCUCUGUAUUUGGACUAAAAUCUUUAGGUGAUGUGACAAAAUUCCUCAAAAAAAGCCUUAAAAUCACUUUCCGUAUUUCCCAAUGCAAGUUUCCUAGACAGCACUUACUUAUUUCCUUUUGGAUGUCACAGCCACAACUUGAGCUCAUGUCCCAUACAGACUUCUCCAGUCUUAUUCCUCAUUGCAAUAAGACAGAGAGAGCUUCUGGCAGUAUCGCUACCAUAUCACAGCCAUUUCUGCUUUCUCUUCUCUUGAGAAAGAGUCUGAAACUGACAUCAUUUAUGAGGCACAGACUCUGUUCUCCAAGAAAAUACAGUUUACACAUUUAUUCCCUGAGUCCUCUAGAUCAGAUCAGAAACUGCAGUUCAAUGAGACAGUGGACAUGAUCGCUCCUGUCCUUGUGUUCAAGAUGUUAGAGUUUUGUAAACUGUAUGUUGACUGUUUAUAUUUUAGUCAUUUAUCUUAUGUGCAGGACAUCUGGUUAAUGAUCACAAUACAUUGCCUUUUAAUGACAAACUCA